UGGGAACUCCCAUAUGCCUCGAGUGCAGCCCUAGAAAGCAAAAACAAACAAACAAAAAAGAGUGCAUUCAGUUCUAACUGAAAAUCUAACAUUAGCUUAACAACCAGGACUUUAUCUCAUAAAAGAAGUCUGAGGUUGGCAGGUCAGGACAAGGACAAUGACAAUAAAAGUUACCCUGGAACCAAAUUUAUUCUGGUUUUCUGCUCUUGUGUGCUUGGACUAUUGUCUUAUCUUCAUCUUACUUUCAUGUUCUAGAUCAGAGGAAGGGAGGAACGUAAAAGGCUGAAGGGACAGGAGUUCUCCUUAGGAAAUGUCUUUUAUUAAGGAAAGGAAGUCCUCCCUAGUAGAUAUUUCUUAUGUCUCAAGUAUAGGACUGGGUCACAUGCCCAUCCUUAGACCAAUCCCAGAUUCAUUCCCUAGGGCUGGGGUCAUGCCCAACUUCCCUGAGAUAAAGGGACUUCUACGAGCCUCCUGAAUAAAUCAGGGUUCUAUCACAAGAAAAGAAAGGAGAAUGAGUAUUGAUGGGCAACGGCUAGUGCCCACCAUGGAUACCUUCUUGUGGGAACUAGGCAAGAAUAACAUGGGAGGUGUUGGGAUUGAAUUAAAUAUCAUCACUCUCACAGCCCCCAAGAAAAGAUAUAUCUACUGAUACCUGCUUUACACAAAAAAUGCUCCAAACACCUGCCUAACUUCUCUCUAAAUAUAUCCUUGUGAAAUUGUUGGUCCCCAACAAUGGUUCUUCUGCUCCGUGUCAUUGGAGCCAAUAGAACAAGACCAAGUUCAGCUCAGAAGCAAUGGAAAGCUUUAUCCCUUAAUCGUAGAACGGAGAGACUUGAACUCUAGCAUGCUCUCCCCAGAGACCCUGGGGCAGGGCUGCUUAGUAUGGAUCUCCUCUUCGGAGGAAGGGGCGGGGCGGAGUUCUUGAGGGUCAUGCGCAGUCGUGCUGCUCAGUUAAGGCGGCAUCGUCUCUUCACGACUGCACCUCCACACUUGCGCUGAGACCCCGCUUGGCAGUUCGCCCGGGAACUCUAGUCUGGGGUGUUAGGGGCAAGGGCUCUGCUCACAGUCCCCUAUGGGCAAGUGAAACUAGACUAAGCACAAAAAGAAGACGUCAGACCUUAUCACCUAGAUUCCACCUUGUUUUUCCCAGGACUGUAGUGGGCUCUGCCGGUGACAAAAGGGCUUUUCAAGUCUUCUGUUUAUAUAAGGACCGUUUCUAAUGCCUCCCCACAAUGGUCUUUCCAGGCUACAAAUAAACUGCAGGAAGGAGAAGACUGAGAUGCUGUGCCCACCUCCAACUUUCCUGACGUCUCUUGUCAAUCCCAUGAGGAUCUGGGGGAACAGGUUUCUCUAUGGUCAUUAAACAAAAGGGAAUGACCAGCCGCAGGAACUUCACCAAGUACUGGAUACCACACCUGCUUUUCCAAGUCAGAUACAACCAUCUCCAUUCUAAACAGUCUACAUCUUUGAAGGACUGUGGCAGACCCAGGCUGGGGAUUAGUCACUGGGGUGACUCACAAACAGCAGCUUGCAGCGCCCAGAGGAGGCUCCCAUUUACAACUGAAGUCUGCCCUCUACUGGUCACAAGCAGCCCAAACCCACACCACAAAGCCACUGAAGAGUUUGCUUCUAAAAUCGUUUCUUCUCCAGGAACAUUUUGGAAAUUGCUACAAUUUAUUUAGCUAGAGAAAUACAAAGAAAUGACAUCUUCUGAAAAGUGUUCCUCUUUAAUUUUUUACUUUUUGAUGUUUUUAGGCUUUUUCCUUUUAUUUGACAAUAGCAGAACUGGAUCAGUUUCAGUUAUAUAGAAAUAUAACUUUCAUUUGUGAUAAAUAACCAUUAUUAUUAUCACACUGCCCAGGCACUUCUGCUCCUAUUGACUCAUGAGUCACUAAAAUGCUUUCGCAUGGUAGAAAUGGACAAGGGCUGUUCAAGAUAGAAGGUACUACAAUGUAUGGGCUGUCAACCGUCCAGUAGUUUUCCAGUGGUAGUUUGUAGACUGAGUGUGAGUAAAGAAAGACCCAGAGAUAGACUCUCCUCAAGCUCUGUAGGGUAUCCAUUUGCCCUGUUCAAAGGCUAUGUGGCAUCAGGCAUCUGGGGAUCCCAAGCAGACAUGACAAUCCUUUCUUUCUCUUGCUUCCACAAGGAGGGCACUCUGGCCCAGGAAGCAAAUGCAGGAGAACAUGAAAGGUGAGUGAGAAGGAAGCCAGAGCCUGGGGAGACCACAAGAUAGUGUGAGCAAAAGGCUGAACCCAUGAUGAAAGGAAAAAGCUAGGGGAGGGAAGGUGGGUAAGAGAAAGAAACAGUGGACAAGGGCAGAACAGAGGACUAAAGAAGUGGCUCCAUUUUUCCAAGGGCCAUUGCUACUUUCUGCAAUGCAGGUCACUGUAAGAAUCUAUUUAGUUUUUAGUUAACAAAAGAAGGGAAUCCUUUCUGAUGUUCCAGAGUCCUUGACAAGAGAUGGUUCGGGUUUUUAGGGGAACAAGGACUCCUUUCUGUGAGCAUACAUCCUAGCCAGAGGUCUGGAAAUCUGCCCCCUCCCUCAAGGUGAUCCUCAAAUACAGCCAGAGUGGGGGGCCCACUGCCCACCCCAGGGUCACCCUCCCCCAAAGGGUCUGCCUACCCCUGUCAGUCUGCUCCUCAGGGCUGCAGAAGCCUAGGAUCAGGGUGGAACAGAGAUCCCUGUGUCCUGAUCUUGCUCUUCCCCUCCAUUUCCCUCUUGCCUCCUCCCUCACCUCUGUCCCUGGUCCUCUGGACUCAAGUUCUCUCCUCCCACGUUGCCCCUCUCUGGACUUUGUGACUCAAAAACUCAAGCACUUUAGGAAAAACAGCGCUCAGUGUAUUCUUAGGCGUGGGUGCUGCUGCCCCUUUAAAAUCCACCAUCGACAGAGUGUGGGGGUUGGGGGGAAGCGGGGAGGAAGAAAGAGAGGCAGGUCUUCUGUCUUUCUUCCCGAGAUAAAGGUUAUUCUUAGCAGUAAGAUCGGCUUGGCAUUUGGGGAGAUUUGUGUUUCUCUCCUUCCCGUCCCAGGAGUUUUGCACAAUGCAAUUCCUCUUCUUUGUGCGGGGAAGAAGAUGAACAGGGAGAAAGAGAAGGGAAAAAAGAAGGGCGCGCCAUCACUGUUGCCCUCGUAGGCAUUUCCCAGGACUUACUUUGGAAAGCUGGUCUAGUUGGUCAGAACUGGGCAGGAAAGUGCCCUCACUCCAUCCCCAGAAGGUCAGUUUAAUUCUAACGGACACUUGAAGUGAGAAGACUAAAGGCCAAAUAAACUCCCUAAAGGCCUUUCCACAGCACUUUGUAUGUCGCACAUGUUCAGCUAGCGUUUGCUCAGCCAGUCUCCCGCUUGCACUCUUAUUUGGGCUGGGUCUCCCAGGACAGACUUCGGAGAACUAGGAACUUGAGAAAAUAAAAAAAAAUAAAAAAUAAAAUAAAAAAGGAAAACGGUGGGCCAAUCUCGAAGAAGACUUACGUAAUCUGAUCCCACUCUGGAACCAGACGGUGAGAUUCUGCAGAGCCGCCAGCAGGGGGAGCUCAGGCAGUGUGUCAGAACGUCGGCACCGAAGUUGCCAGGAGCCAAAACCUCCGGAUAAACAAAACAAUGAAUCUUUGUGGUUUCUCUUAGGUUCUUAAUCCUGGGAGGCUCAAUCCAGGACGGCCUGAUUUUCGUCCUAGGGGAGCCAGCUAGCUUCUCCCAGAACACUAGCUGGGUCUUGGAUGUCUUAAUAGGUCUCUCUCUCUGUUCUUCCCUCCUCAAUUGCUUUCUGUCUUCCUCUAUUUUUCAUCUAUUUUCUCAAACUGUCUAUGUAUCUCUUUAUGUGUAUCUCCUUCUGUAAUUCCCCUUUCUCUGAAUCUGUGUUUCUGUCAGUGUUUCUUUCUUGUUAUUUCUCUGUAUGGUCCUUGGCUCACUAGCAAAUGUUAAUGUAAAUGGGGAUGAACCCACUGCAGACUGAGCUCUGAAAGAUUUCAAGAUCUGGCAAAAACUAACACUUAAAAUAAAAUGUAGAAUAAUUAUUCUACACGGGUUCACCACUUAGCUAUUGGGUCAUGUCGUCUUGUUAUAUUUCUCCUGUCUCUGUCCUCCUAGCCUGCUGCCCUUGCAUCCUGCAGUACUGCCUUGAGCAUUGGUUGCUGCCAAGCUGCUGCCCACCUCCCCCUCCCAUUGAUCUCCAGGGGUCAAUGGGACCAGCCCAACAAUGUUUUUCAGGUCUUUUAGAGAAAAUGCCCAUACCAGAAUAACUGUACCUCUAGUGACAUGGUUUUCCACUUCUUAAUUAAGACCCAGCCCAGAACACACUGGAAC